AUCGAACGCUGGCGGCAGGCCUAACACAUGCAAGUCGAGCGGAUGAAGGGUGCUUGCUCCUGGUUUCAGCGGCGGACGGGUGAGUGAUGCCUAGGAAUCUGCCUGGCAGUGGGGGGUGACGUCCGGAGACGGGCGCUGAUACCGCCUACGUCCUGAGGGUGAUGGUGGGGGGUGUUCGGACAGCACGCUAUCUGAGGAGCCUAGGUCGGAUUAGGUAGUUGGUGGGGUAGAGGCCUACCAAGGCGACGAUCCGUAACUGGUCUGAGAGGAUGAGCAGUCACACGGGAACUGAGACGCGGCCCAGACUCCUACGGGAGGCAGCAGUGGGUAAUAUUGGAAAAUGGGCGAAAGCCUGAUCCAGCCAUGCCGGGAGUGUGAAGAAGGUCUUCGGAUUGUAAAGCACUUUAAGUGGGGAAGAAGGGCAGUAAGUUAAUACCUUGCUGUUUGAACGUAACCAACAGAAAAGGCACCGGUAAACACGUG
rnacentral:rRNA from 1 species